UACGUAGGGGGCUAGCGUUGUUCGGAAUUACUGGGCGUAAAGCGCACGCAGGCGGUUCGAUUAGUCAGAAGUGAAAGCCCCGGGCUCAACCUGGGAAUUGCUUUUGAUACUGUCGAGCUUGAAUCACGGAGAGGGUAGUGGAAUUCCGAGUGUAGAGGUGAAAUUCGUAGAUAUUCGGAAGAACACCAGUGGCGAAGGCGACUACCUGGCCGUCGAUUGACGCUCAUGUGCGAAAGCGUGGGGAGCAAACAGG
rnacentral:rRNA from 1 species